UGAGGAAUAUUGCACAAUGGGCGCAAGCCUGAUGCAGCAACGCCGCGUGCGGGACGAAGGCCUUCGGGUCGUAAACCGCUUUUCUGGGGGAGGAGCAAGGACGGUACCUCAGGAAUAAGUCUCGGCUAACUACGUGCCAGCAGCCGCGGUAAAACGUAGGACGCGAGCGAUACCCGGAUUUACUGGGCGUCAAGCGCACGCAGGCGGCUCUGUUAGUCGGACGUGAAAGCUCUCGGCUUAACCGGGAGAGGCCGUUCGAGACUGCGGGGCUGGAGGUAGGGAGAGGAAUGCGGAAUUCCCGGUGUAGUGGUGGAAUGCGUAGAUAUCGGGAGGAACACCUGUGGCGAAAGCGGCAUUCUGACCCUCACCUGACGCUGAGGUGCGAAAGCGUGGGUAGCAAACA
rnacentral:rRNA from 1 species